GACGAACGCUGGCGGCGUGCCUAAUACAUGCAAGUAGAACGCACAGUUUAUACCGUAGCUUGCUACACCAUAAACUGUGAGCUGCGAACGGGUGAGUAACGCGUAGGUAACCUGCCUGGUAGCGGGGGAUAACUAUUGGAAGCGAUAGCUAAUACCGCAUAAUAUUGAUUAUUGCAUGAUAAUUGAUUGAAAGAUGCUAUUGCAUCACUACCAGAUGGACCUGCGUUGUAUUAGCUAGUAGGUGAGGUAACGGCUCACCUAGGCGACGAUACAUAGCCGACCUGAGAGGGUGAUCGGCCACACUGGGACUGAGACACGGCCCAGACUCCUACGGGAGGCAGCAGUAGGGAAUCUUCGGCAAUAGACGAAAGUCUGACCGAGCAACGCCGCGUGAGUGAAGAAGGUUUUCGGAUCGUAAAGCUCUGUUGUAAGAGAAGAACGGGUGUGAGAGUGGAAAGUUCACACUGUGACGGUAUCUUACCAGAAAGGGACGGCUAACUACGUG
rnacentral:rRNA from 1 species